CAAGUGACGUGCGUCAUUUAUAAUCCAAUCCCAAAGGAGAAAAAGCGGUUGUUUGUUUGUGCUGCCUUUUGUCCUUAGGAAACUAAAAUGUUAAGAGGAAUCUGCUUUGGAAUAUGCAUACUUGUUUAUGGCCUGGCGGAGGAGCCAGUGUGUACAUCGCACUUUGAUUAUGAAUACAGGACGGUUCAAAAGUUGUUUCAGUUAGAGCAGAAGAUAGAGCAGUUGUAACUCAAAGUAGGUCAGUCUGUGUAUGUAAGAUGGGGAAGAAACACGUGUCCUGAUGAUGCUUCACUGGUAUAUUAUGGCUAUUCGGCAGGUAAAAAGUAUGCCGAUAAAGGAAGUGGGAGUGAUACUGUAUGUUUGCCGUCAGUACCCAC
rnacentral:lncRNA from 1 species